GGCAAAGCGGGAGGCCGGCGGCAUGGAGAUCGCCGGUGAGCUUUUUUCAUCUCAGUUUUACCUCAUUCUUACCUUUCCAAGGAUGCGUGUGUGCUUUCACGAGUCGAUGCAUGUAGUUUAUUAUAAUGUUUAAUUCUAUUCUUGAUCUUUGUUUUCAUUUUAGUAUUGUUUGCCCUUCCGUUUUGUUCUUGAUCGCACCGCCAUACAUUUUCCAUCUGGCGUUGACCUUUAUUCCUAAAACAAUAAAUGUUUAUUGGAUGGUUUGCCUUUUUUGGGUGAAAAUAGAUUGUUUUCUAAGUGGAUAAACAUGCAUUUUUAUCAGAUGUAUCAUGUCCAUGUUGUACUGGUGACUUGGCAUAUUGUUUUUUUAAUCACACUGCCACCUAUUUCUCUAUUCAGAGUACAGGGAGGAAAAUAUCAACCUCCUGCAACCAACAAUGUAGUAAUUUACUAUUUUUGAGCUCUUUGGAUAUCAUAUGUAGAUGUACAUUUCAGUGCCUUUCUUUUCUGGACUACACUACUUUUCAGAUUUCCAGUGUCUGAAUCUUCAGUACAAAAGAUAGUCAAGCUUAUAUGGUGUUUCACAGGAGCAUUGGUACCGAUCAUUGAGAAUAUACCUCUCCGCUACAUGUAUGCGAUUGUCAUAGUACCUAGGUUCAAGAAAUGUUUUUUAAUGGUGCUAGAGUCCGGGAAGUGAAAACUGAACCUUUUAUGGUGAAGGAUCAUCGCGGAGAAGGUGAAUUUACGCCUUAGCUUUAUCUGUAACUGUUUCUUCGUGUUGGUAUUAAGCCGCCAAGGAAGUUUCAAGAAAAAUGUGCUUUGAAGUACCAUAUUAUGCAGUUAGCUCAGGGAGACAACGAUACAGUUAUCACCAUCUUGAGAUGUCCUCCUAACUACUAUACUCAUUCAUGGGCGUUCCGCUCUAUGGCACACCUAGAACGGGGACGAUAUUGUUUGAUAGAGCCACUGCCCAUUAUGAAAUGAAUUGGAUUGGAUUACACCUUAUCGUGUGCUUUAUCAGGAGUUGUGUAAGUACUAAUUAUGCCAACCUGCGGCAACACUCUAAUGGUUUCUCCACAAAGGAUGCCUCCUGGAGCUCUACUUCUCUCCCACCCCAACACCGGUAUAGUAUGAAAAUCCUAUUACUAAAUAGCUUACUGUUUGAUGCUUAUGUUUGUUGGUGUAGUAAUCAUUUUUGAAGGUCCACUCCCGGAGGAUGUUACUCGAGGCUUCCGUAUAGUCGAGUGAUUUUGCUUUUGCAUGCUAAUAAUACAAUAUAGAUGGAUAUAAUUAAUAGUUCUUGGUGCAUAUUAUUUUGUCUCAAUACCAUAAAUUCAAUGUAAAGGUUUGCAUUAUUAUUGUCGAAUCUAAAUUACAUCAAAGACUUGAACAGGGAAUGAUGCCUCUUUUAACUGAUUGGUGUGCUUUUUUAACUCUCUUUAAUGAGUAAAUCAUAGUGUAGUUGCAUCUUAUAUUCUAUUUGGGCAUGUAGGUGUGUGCUUCCUCACUUUUCCCUUUCUUAUAAGUUGUCCUCAUUUUGUAGCUUCUAUUUAGGUUUGGAUUUCUUCAACCCGCAAGGCCCGUCCGGUUGUGAGCUACAAUGAAUUUGUUAAGAGUUGGAGGAGACAACAUUGCACAUUAGAGCUACGCUGAAUGUAGCGAGGCAACCACGAAUUGCGUAUGUUCACACGAGGGAUGGGAGAGGAGAGGAACAUUAACAUUUUUCAUGCUUUGGAUGAAAAUUUCAAUUCAUAGUUUCUCUGUACGUGGCAACACACUAGCGGUACUCAUGGGCUUAGGAUGAAAGUUGCGCCAGCAGAAUUAGUAGGUUGGAUGGGAAGGCGGUUGUUGCCCAUGUCCCUUGGUGCGGGACUACCGUGGCGGCCUCACUAACUUGCUCACUGCGAAUACGAGUUCGUGGGGUCGUGAGUUGCUCCAGAUUUGUUUUUAUCACUUUUUACAAUAUUUUUUAUGUAUCCCUAACUUACCGAGUCAUUUUUAGCUUUGAUUUCCCAUAUACGCCAGCCUGAAUAUCCCAUGGUCAGCAUAUUUGCAUGGUUAGUGGACAUUGUCCCUUUCUUUCGUAUUUAGUGAUGGAUAAAAAGUCAGAAAUGACAAUUCUACUGUAUUAUUCAAUUUGAACUAAUGUUUAGUAUUUUAUUUUGCUGAUAGAAAUAAUUUUAUCCGCUUGAUUUAGGAAGUGCACAUAGGUAAGUCAGCAUAUUUUGUAGCUCUUUCAGAUGUAAAAGCACAUAUUGCAUAGGAAAUUAUUAUCUUCGAAGCAUACUCACAUUUCACUAACAAAUAGGGGGAGGUUCAGACUUCAGAGCAAUGAUAACAAGGGUGCCGAGGGAUAGAACUGGUCAUGUUGAAAGUCAGUUUAGUGCAUCAAGGAUGGGAGGUUAAGAGAUUUGCAAGAGGUGAUGGAGGAUGGUUAGUUAUUGUGGCUCAUUAUAUAGUAGUGAAAGAUGAGUACAAGCAUAAGCUUAUUCAAAAUUGCAGUUCUUGAUUCAUGGGACAUAUUUUUUGUAAUAUUUUUCAAUUCUUCUAAGA